rnacentral:rRNA from 1 species
UACGUAGGGUGCGAGCGUUGUCCGGAAUUAUUGGGCGUAAAGGGCUCGUAGGCGGUUUGUCGCGUCGGGAGUGAAAUCCACUGGCUUAACUGGUGGCUUGCUUUCGAUACGGGCAGACUGGAGUACUGCAGGGGAGACUGGAAUUCCUGGUGUAGCGGUGGAAUGCGCAGAUAUCAGGAGGAACACCGGUGGCGAAGGCGGGUCUCUGGGCAGUAACUGACGCUGAGGAGCGAAAGCGUGGGGAGCGAACAGG